rnacentral:rRNA from 1 species
CCGUUUNNNNNCCUAGUACAUUGCCCUUGAGUUGAUCAUGGCUCGAAUCACGCUGGCGGCGUGCCUAACACAUGCAAGUCGAACGCGACUUGGGGCUUCGGCUCCAAGUUGAGUGGCGAACGGGUGAGUAACACGUGGGUGAUCUACCUUCGAGUGGGGGAUAACGUCCCGAAAGGGACGCUAAUACCGCAUGACGUUCCGGGUUUAAAGACCUGGAAACCAAAGCCGGGGACCGCAAGGCCUGGCGCUUGAAGAGGAGCCCGCGUCCGAUUAGCUAGUUGGCGGGGUAAUGGCCCACCAAGGCGACGAUCGGUAGCCGGCCUGAGAGGGCGGACGGCCACACUGGAACUGAGACACGGUCCAGACUCCUACGGGAGGCAGCAGUGGGGAAUUGUUCACAAUGGGCGCAAGCCUGAUGACGCAACGCCGCGUGGGGGAUGAAGGUCUUCGGAUCGUAAACCCCUGUCGAAUGGGACGAAUAACCUCUGGGCUAAUCACCAGGGGAAUGACGGUACCGUUAAAGGAAGCCACGGCUAACUCUGUGCCAGCAGCCGCGGUAAUACAGAGGUGGCAAGCGUUGUUCGGAAUUACUGGGCGUAAAGGGCGCGUAGGCGGCCAUCUAAGUCAGACGUGAAAUCCCCCGGCUUAACCUGGGAACUGCGUCUGAUACUGGACGGCUUGAGUAUGGGAGAGGGAUGUAGAAUUCCAGGUGUAGCGGUGAAAUGCGUAGAUAUCUGGAGGAAUACCGGUGGCGAAG